GCGGUAGUAGUUCAGUUGGCUAGAAUGUCUCCUUGCCAAGGAGAAGGUCGCCGGUUCGAAUCCGGUCUACCGCU
rnacentral:tRNA from 1 species